AUUGAACGCUGGCGGCAUGCCUUACACAUGCAAGUCGAACGGUAACAGGUCUUCGGAUGCUGACGAGUGGCGAACGGGUGAGUAAUACAUCGGAACGUGCCUAGUAGUGGGGGAUAACUACUCGAAAGAGUGGCUAAUACCGCAUGAGAUCUACGGAUGAAAGCAGGGGAUCGCAAGACCUUGUGCUACUAGAGCGGCCGAUGGCAGAUUAGGUAGUUGGUGGGAUAAAAGCUUACCAAGCCGACGAUCUGUAGCUGGUCUGAGAGGACGAUCAGCCACACUGGACUGAGAAACGGCCCAGACUCCUACGGGAGGCAGCAGUGGGGAAUUUUGGACAAUGGGCGCAAGCCUGAUCCAGCAAUGCCGCGUGCAGGAUGAAGGCCUUCGGGUUGUAAACUGCUUUUGUACGGAACGAAAAGCCUUGGGUUAAUACCCCUGGGGUCAUGACGGUACCGUAAGAAUAAGCACCGGCUAACUACGUGCCAGCCGCCGCAGUAAAAC
rnacentral:rRNA from 1 species